rnacentral:rRNA from 1 species
CCUACGGGUGGCAGCAGUGAGGAAUAUUGGUCAAUGGACGGAAGUCUGAACCAGCCAUGCCGCGUGCAGGAAGACGGCUCUAUGAGUUGUAAACUGCUUUUGUACAAGGGUAAACCUGAAUACGUGUAUUCAGCUGAAAGUACUGUACGAAUAAGGAUCGGCUAACUCCGUGCCAGCAGCCGCGGUAAUACGGAGGAUCCAAGCGUUAUCCGGAUUUAUUGGGUGUAAAGGGUGCGUAGGCGGAUUGAUAAGUUAGAGGUGAAAUGUCCGAGCUUAACUCGGGAACUGCCUCUAAUACUGUUGGUCUAGAGAGUAGAUGCGGUAGGCGGAAUGUAUGGUGUAGCGGUGAAAUGCUUAGAGAUCAUACAGAACACCGAUUGCGAAGGCAGCUUACCAAUCUAUAUCUGACGUUGAGGCACGAAAGCGUGGGGAGCAAACAGGAUUAGAUACCCGGGUAGUC